rnacentral:hammerhead_ribozyme from 1 species
AUCCAGCUGACGAGUCCCAAGCAGGACGAAAUGCGCGUCCUGGAU